rnacentral:rRNA from 1 species
CGGCGUGCUUAACACAUGCAAGUCGAGCGGUCCUCAUGUUCAAGCCUGCUUCGGCAGGUGAGGAUAUGAGGAUAGCGGCGAACGGGUGAGUAACACGUGGGUAACCUGUCUGAAAGAUCGGGAUAACAGCUCGAAAGGGCUGCUAAUACCGGAUAAACUUGCCGGAUCGCAUGGUUUGGCAAGAAAAAGGUUGGCAACUUCCGCUUUCGGGUGGGCCCGCGGCCCAUUAUCUAGUUGGUAGGGUAAAGGCCUACCAAGGCAACGAUGGGUAGCUGGUUUGAGAGGAUGAUCAGCCACACUGGGACUGAGACACGGCCCAGACUCCUACGGGAGGCAGCAGUGGGGAAUCUUGCGCAAUGGGCGAAAGCCUGACGCAGCGACGCCGCGUGAGCGAUGAAGGCCUUCGGGUUGUAAAGCUCUGUCAGAGGGGACGAUAGUGACGGUACCCUCAGAGGAAGCCCCGGCUAACUACGUGCCAGCAGCCGCGGUAAGACGUAGGGGGCUAGCGUUGUCCGGAAUUACUGGGCGUAAAGGGCGUGUAGGCGGCUUGGCAAGUCAGUGGUGUAAGACCUGGGCUUAACCGAGGUAUUGCCAUUGAAACUGCUUGGCUUGAGGGUAGAAGAGGAGUGUGGAAUUCCCGGUGUAGCGGUGGUAUGCGUAGAGAUCGGGAGGAACACCAGUGGCGAAGGCGACACUCUGGUCUACACCUGACGCUGAGGCGCGAAAGCUAGGGGAGCAAACAAGAGUAGAUACCCUGGUAGUCCUAGCUGUAAACGACCCUAUAAAGAUGUAGGGGUGUUCAUGACCUCUGUGCCGCCGCUACCGCAUUAAUAUUCCCGCCUGGGGAGUACGGUCGCAAGAUUAAAACUCAAAGGAAUUGACGGGGGCCCGCACAAGCAGCGGAGCAUGUGGUUAAUUCGAAGCAACGCGAAGAACCUUACCUAGACUUGACAUCUCCUGCAUUACUCUUAAUCGAGGAAGUCCCUUCGGGGACAGGAUGACAGGUGGUGCAUGGUUGUCGUCAGCUCGUGUCGUGAGAUGUUGGGUUAAGUCCCGCAACGAGCGCAACCCUUAUUGUUAGUUGCCAUCAUUAAGUUGGGCACUCUAGCGAGACUGCCCGGGUUAACCGGGAGGAAGGUGGGGAUGACGUCAAAUCAUCAUGCCCCUUAUGUCUAGGGCUACACACGUGCUACAAUGGUCGGUACAAUAAGACGCAAGCCCGCGAGGGGGAGCAAAACUGGAAAACCGAUCUCAGUUCGGAUUGUAGGCUGAAACUCGCCUACAUGAAGCUGGAGUUGCUAGUAAUCGCGAAUCAGCAUGUCGCGGUGAAUACGUUCCCGGGCCUUGCACACAACGCCCGUCA